rnacentral:rRNA from 1 species
UACGAAGGGGGCUAGCGUUGCUCGGAAUUACUGGGCGUAAAGCGCACGUAGGCGGCUUUCUAAGUCGGGGGUGAAAUCCUGGAGCUCAACUCCAGAACUGCCUUCGAUACUGGAGAGCUUGAGUCCGGGAGAGGUGAGUGGAACUGCGAGUGUAGAGGUGAAAUUCGUAGAUAUUCGCAAGAACACCAGUGGCGAGGGCGGCUCACUGGCCCGGUACUGACGCUGAGGUGCGAAAGCGUGGGGAGCAAACAGG